CGCCUGCCUAACCCACGGUCCCUCCCAACUCUUUCUAGGGCCUUAGGGCCCCCGGAGCCCCGCAGCCACAGCAGGGCGCAGGCAGGGACCAGGGCAGGGAUGAGAGGCAGCCCUUAUGGUGCAGGAUCUAGUGGGCCUGGGCCAGUCCCUUCUGCACCUCCUGGCCCCCACCACCUCCACUUCACAAAGGUCUCCUAUUGGUCUCACCCCUCCUAUCCUCAGGGCAGUUGCCAGAGUGGUGCUGCCCACUGGGCUGGGUGCGAGCGGGCAGGACCUGCCCUGGCCCAGGAUGAGCUCCUGGAGGCAGAGCAUGCACCCGGCGAGACCCCUUGUGGAGCCCGAUUCAGGAGGCCGACUCCAGCCCUGACACCUGUGUCCCCGACUUGCAACAGAUUCGAGAAGCCGCAGGACCAAGUGGCGUGCACAGCUUCGACCAUUUCCUGAGAAAUUGCCAUUUUAGGUGAACCGUGAGGAUCUUUUCCUUCUGAUGGAGGUGAAGUUAGGGAGGAUGGCUGAGCUUCCAGCAAAGUCACAAUGCCCUUCCCAAGUCUGGAGAGCCACCUGGAAACUGCCUCAUCCCCGCCGGGCACCCCGCCCGUGGAAGGGAAGGUUUCCCUCAGUUAAACCCCAUGUGUCUCCUGAACUUCCAAAAAUGUCCAAGCAGGAAGUACUAAACCUCAGAAAGCAAAAACAGCUGUCUCUCCUGAGACAGCCCACGCUCCUGGGGCCUCAGUUACACUUCUUGGCAUUUCAGACCUGAGCCGCGCCCACCCAGCCCAGCCCCACGCCGUCCCCAAAAGGACUAAAGGGACGCUGUUCUUAGCUGGUGAGAGGCCUCUGUGUGUGGCUCAUCUCCCUGAGAAGCGGUUUGAGGGGCCGACACGAAUGACCUAACACAACCCAAAACAAGCAGAGCGCAGGGGCCAGUGGGCUGGGCAGACCUGGUCAGUGAGUGGGGAGGUGGGGCCUUGGAGCCAGCUCCGCAUCCCCUCGCACAUCUGGGACCAGGCAGGGCCAGUGAGACAAUGCCCGGGGCUCACAGUGUCCACAGGGUGAAAACAGCCAUCCCCAGGGAGGAGGGCCCUGAGAGCCGGACGGGGUCCUCACAAGGGGGCCCUUAUGUCAGAAGGAAGGGAUGCCGGCGACCCCACCGUGCUGGCAUUCUGCCACUUUUUGCAACGUUUGUCCAUUUUAGCGGCUGACAAGAAGCUGAUGCAUAAUCCAGUGACCUCACCGUUACCCUCCUUCACAGUCAGGGAGCAGGCCCUGAGAGUGCCAGUCACUCUCAGGCCCCAUGCCGGGACGCGGGGCAGCCAGGUGCCAGCCCGCAGCUCCGCGGGGUCCUCCUGAC
rnacentral:lncRNA from 1 species